rnacentral:rRNA from 1 species
GAUGAACGCUGGCGGCGUGCCUAAUACAUGCAAGUCGAGCGAACAGACGAGGAGCUUGCUCCUCUGACGUUAGCGGCGGACGGGUGAGUAACACGUGGAUAACCUACCUAUAAGACUGGGAUAACUUCGGGAAACCGGAGCUAAUACCGGAUAAUAUAUUGAACCGCAUGGUUCAAUAGUGAAAGACGGUUUUGCUGUCACUUAUAGAUGGAUCCGCGCCGCAUUAGCUAGUUGGUAAGGUAACGGCUUACCAAGGCAACGAUGCGUAGCCGACCUGAGAGGGUGAUCGGCCACACUGGGAGUGAGACGCGGUCCAGGCUCCUACGGGAGGCAGCAGUAGGGAAUCUUCCGCAAUGGGCGAAAGCUUGACGGAGCAACGCCGCGUGAGUGAUGAAGGUCUGCGGAUCGUAAAACUCUGUUAUUAGGGAAGAACAAAUGUGUAAGUAACUAUGCACGUCUUGACGGUACCUAAUCAGAAAGCCACGGCUAACUACGU